rnacentral:rRNA from 1 species
CACGUAGGGCGCAAGCGUUGUCCGGAAUUAUUGGGCGUAAAGAGCUCGUAGGCGGUCUGUUGCGUCCGCUGUGAAAACUCGGGGCUUAACCCCGAGCCUGCAGUGGAUACGGGCAGACUAGAGGUAGGUAGGGGAGAAUGGAAUUCCCGGUGUAGCGGUGAAAUGCGCAGAUAUCGGGAGGAACACCGGUGGCGAAGGCGGUUCUCUGGGACAGUUACUGACACUGAGGCAC